CUCCCCGCGCGGCCUGUGGCCAGAAACGGUUUUCGCUUGUGUGCUGUGCUACGUAUGCAUAAGAUUACUGCUCUAAUCACUGGAAGUGUACAGUGCAGGAGCGCUGAGGGCGUUCAUCCAGCCUACUCACCUCCGCACCGUCUGAUAGCGCUCCUUCCCCACCUGUUCUAGCUCUUGGCAACCUUUGUGCUACUUUCUGUCUCUCUAAAUUUGCACACGCCACUCUCUCGUACGAGUGGCAGGGCACACUAUUUGUGCUUCUAUUCCUGCUUUAUUUUACUUAGCACAUCUUCAACGUUUAUCCGUGUUGGAGCAGUAUCAGAAUUUAAUUCCUUUUUAUGGCUGAUUAAUAGACUAUUAUACGUGUGUACUAUAUUUUGUUUCUUUAUUCAUCUGUGGAUCGAAGCUUAGAUUUCUUCCACCUUCUGCCUAAUACAAAUAAUGCGGCUGUGAACAUGGGUACGCAAACACCUGUUCAAAUUCUUGCCUUCGGUUCUUUUGGAUACUUGUACACCCAGAAGUGGAAUUACUGGAUCUACCGUGUUCCUAUUUUUAGUUUUUUGAGUAAUCACUAUAUUUUUUCAUAUUAGCAUUUCACUUUCCCACAAAUAUUGCACAAAAGUUCCAAAUUCUCCAUCCCCUCACCAACAAUUAUUAUUUUCGGUUUUUUAAAAGCUAGGGCAGUCAUUAGUAGCCAUUUAAUGAGUAUCAAGUUUUUUCUCACUGUGGUUUGAUUUGCAUUUUCCUAAUGCCUACUGAUACUGAGGAUCUUUUCUUGUGUUUAUGGAUGAUUGUAUCACUUCUUUAGAGAAAUGUCUAUUCAAGUAUUUUGCUCAAUUCUUAAUCAGGUUGUGUUAUUGUUGUUGUUGAGUUUUAGGGGUUCUUUAUUAUUCUGGAUAUAAGUCUUUUACCAGAUACACAAUUUGCAAGUAUUUCCCCAUUCUGUUUCCUUUUAACUCUGCUGACCACAUCUACAAGAGUUUACAUAAGUUGUCAUGUAAACUUAUACAUGUGGAUUAUGUAUAUUGGAUGAGAGCUACCUAACACUCCUUUUCUAAAUCUCUUCCUGCUCAAUAGCUAUAGAAACCUCUGUUGUCUCCAACCAAGAACCCAGGCUAACACAUUCAGUAAAGAUCAUUACAUUAUAUUCAGUAAUUUUUCCUCACAAGGUAGUGUUUUCUGAGAAAAUCUUGAUUUUAAUCAUGACUUUUCUACAUUUAUUGCCCAUAAUCUUCCAAUAUCUAUAAAACUGACUUACUAAAAUUUAUAUAUCACAAGGAAGGAUACAAUUGCAAUUGUAUUUUGAUAAAAAGGAGUCAAAAUUUAGACACAAAAAGAUAAGACUCUGAGUGAGAAAUCAUAACUGAAAGAGCACAAUUAAUUACAAGAACUUUAUUCCUGAUGCUUGAUUUUAUUGCAACCCAAUGAGAAAGUAAGACAUAGCUGAGAAAAGACCCAGGAAUCUAAAUUCCUAGCAUAGACAUCCUAAGUUUCUCGUGAACGGAAGGCUGUUUAUCAUGGGAGCAAUUGUUGGUCAAAGCUCACUGGACAGAAAGGGAAAGAGGUCGUAAUUCAGAACUCUAAUCUCAGUUACUCCACACUCACGCUGAGUAAAUUACUUCAUUCAGAGCCAUCCUAUUUCUCCCAGCCAAUGAUUACACUCUUAAAAAAAACAAACCACUCAAAGCAGAAUGUUUCCUUUAUUGUUAUUUAUGCUUGCUUUCCCACGCAGCCACUGGGUGACUAAUAGUGACCUCAUUACAAAAACAAGACUCUGUCCAUGAACUCUGCCCAGAAAUGUCAUUCAGACCCCUCCUUCUUCUUGUAUCUGAUUUAUCUAUCAUUAGAGAUUUCUACUUUUUCUUCCCUUUUUUUCUUUUUUUCUUCCUAAUUUAGCACAUACUCAUCUUUUUAAGAAAAAACAAUUCUAUUCUGUGUUCAGCACUCCCAUUAAAAAAUAGUUUUGGUUUUUUCCAAUAUUACUUCAUAUGAGAAAAGUUGGGAGAAGAAGUGAAGAAAGCAAUUAAAAAGGGAAUUGUGAAAAAAAAAAGUCAAACCCUCAAACAAGCCACAUGUAUAUCCUACAAGCUAACAAGCUGAUCCUUGGGGACAGUAAAACGAAUAAAGAAGCAAGGAUAGAAAGCAGGCAGACAAGUACCAAGUGAAAAGCUGAGGCAGGACAGAGUCUCUCUAAGCCCAGCCGCAGAGUGAGAAAGGGGCUCCUUGUGGAGUCCGCAGCGGUGCACGGCGUCUCCCGAGCCACCCCUUCUGCGGGCAGAGAACACCCUGUGCAACCACAGCCCGCCGAUGACGAGCAGCGCCGGCUCUGAGAGCUGCUUUCCCUAGCCCAUUUGUGGGCCUUGCUGGAGCAUCAUCGGCAGAGCACCAUCAUAAUUAAAGUGCAAAUAAGAAACGCCGCACCACACGGAUGAACAAGCCAGGAAUCCUGCGGACCUCCUGGGUGCUCACGGCCAAGGGCAGAAGAAGCACAAACAGGAUUCAGAAGCUGAGGAGUGCAAAUUACUGUAUUCUGCUUGAAAGACAAAGAAACCAACCAAGAGCACAGAGCGCUGUGCCUGGCAGACAGAGGACACUCAGCUGCUACUUCCAAGCUGAUCCUGGCUUGCAUCCCCCCGGCACCUGGCGUUUCCACUGUUUCCCCGAGCUUGCCUGUGGGCUCUUGGUUGAAAAUGCUUGCGGGUUUUUCACCAUUUAUCUUUCUCAGUUCUGUCUCUGAUGGCAGAAAACCAACUCAAGGUAGUUUCAGUCAAACAAAAUAACUGGUCAGCAGAAGGGAGCUCUUGGCCGACUUCCCUCCUCCAUCUCAUGGCCAGCCUCCCUCAGGUGGGUGUUCUGUGACACGUGGUAUUGUCCAUGUGGAAGGCAGUGGAAGCUGCUGACUCUUCAGCCACACUGCUGAUGUUUGAAUCUGGUCCCACCACCUACCUAGAGAAAAUUACUUAAAUUCUUUGAGUUUCAGUUUUCUCAUCUGCAAAAUGGGGGCAAUAAUAGUAGCUACUGCUCGAGAAGGUAGUUGUAAAGAUUAAGUAAGAAAAUACACAUAAGCAACUCACACAUAAAAUGCCUGACACAUCACAUGUGCUCAGCAUAAACAGUUCGGGAGAGGAGCCGAAUGGCCAAGCCUUCUAGAGCGUUUUCGUCGGGUUCCACGGAAGGUGCUGUCCAGGCAUUAUCCCCGUUGUCUCACCACAACUCCACGAUGUAGGGUCACCUUUACUCUCACUUUGCAGGUGAACAGAAAAAGUUCAGAGAAGCUUGGUGCCGAGGAAGCAAGGGGUGGCGGGGUUUUUCUGGGGAGAACGAAGAGUAAAAACUGUAGGCUGUGCAGGCCAGGUGUUCUGUCACAACUAGCGAACCUGUCGCUGAGAGUGAAAGCGGCAAUAGUCAACACGUAAACGAAGCAGCGUAACUGUGCUCCCAGGAAACGUCUGCUACAGGCAGUGACUCUGGAGUUUCAUAGAAUUGUCAUGUGCCACAAAA